UACGAAGGUCCCAAGCGUUAUCCGGAUUUAUUGGGUUUAAAGGGCGCGUAGGCGGCCAUUCAAGUCAGGGGUGAAAGCCUGUGGCUCAACCACAGAAUUGCCUUUGAUACUGUUUGGCUAGAGACCGGAAGAGGUAAGUGGAACUGCGAGUGUAGAGGUGAAAUUCGUAGAUAUUCGCAAGAACACCAGUGGCGAAGGCGGCUUACUGGUCCGGUUCUGACGCUGAGGCGCGAAAGCGUGGGGAGCAAACAGG
rnacentral:rRNA from 1 species